rnacentral:rRNA from 1 species
GACCUCAAAUCAGGUAGGACUACCCGCUGAACUUAAGCAUAUCAAUAAGCGGAGGAAAAGAAACUAACAAGGAUUCCCUCAGUAACUGCGAGUGAAGUGGGAAAAGCUCAAAUUUGAAAUCUGGCAGCUCUUUCAGGUUGUCCGAGUUGUAAUCUAGAGAAGUGUUACCUGUGUUGGACCGUGUAAAAGUCUUCUGGAAUGGAGCAUCAUAGAGGGUGAGAAUCCCGUCUUUGACAUGGACUACCAGCAUGCCAAGGUGCACUCUCAAAGAGUCGAGUUGUUUGGGAAUGCAGCUCAAAAUGGGUGGUAAAUGCCAUCUAAAGCUAAAUAUUGGCGAGAGACCGAUAGCGAACAAGUACCGUGAGGGAAAGAUGAAAAGAACUUUGGAAAGAGAGUUAAACAGUACGUGAAAUUGCUGAAAGGGAAACGCUUAAAGUCAG